AGAGUUUGAUCCUGGCUCAGGAUGAACGCUGGCGGCGUGCUUAACACAUGCAAGUCGAACGGAGUUGAAGAGAGCUUGCUUUUUUCAACUUAGUGGCGGACGGGUGAGUAACGCGUGGGUAACCUGCCUUAUACUGGGGGAUAACACUUAGAAAUAGGUGCUAAUACCGCAUAAGCGCACAGUUCCGCAUGGAGCAGUGUGAAAAACUCCAGUGGUAUAAGAUGGAUCUGCGUCUGAUUAGCUAGUUGGUGGGGUAACGGCCUACCAAGGCGACGAUCAGUAGCCGGCCUGAGAGGGUGAACGGCCACAUUGGGACUGAGACACGGCCCAGACCCCUACGGGAGGCAGCAGUGAGGGAUGUUGCACAAUGGAGGGAACUCUGAUGCAGCGAUGCCGCGUGGAGGAAGAAGGUUUUCGGAUUGUAAACUCCUGUUUCGGGGGACGAGGAAGGACGGUACCCCGGGAGGAAGCUCCGGCUAACUACGUGCCAGCAGCCGCGGUAAUACGUAGGGAGCGAGCGUUGUCCGGAAUUACUGGGUGUAAAGGGAGCGCAGGCGGGACAGCAAGUCAGAUGUGAAAUGCACAGGCUCAACCUGUGAAUUGCAUUUGAAACUGCAGUUCUUGAGUGAAGUAGAGGUAAGCGGAAUUCCUGGUGUAGCGGUGAAAUGCGUAGAGAUCAGGAGGAACAUCGGUGGCGAAGGCGGCUUACUGGGCUUUAACUGACGCUGAGGCUCGAAAGCGUGGGGAGCAAACAGGAUUAGAUACCCUGGUAGUCCACGCUGUAAACGAUGAUGACUAGGUGUGGGGGGACUGACCCCUUCCGUGCCGGAGCAAACGCAAUAAGUCAUCCACCUGGGGAGUACGGCCGCAAGGUUGAAACUCAAAGGAAUUGACGGGGGCCCGCACAAGCAGUGGAGUAUGUGGUUUAAUUCGAUGCAACGCGAAGAACCUUACCAGGUCUUGACAUCGUGCGCAUAGCUGAGAGAUCAGUGAAGUCCUUUCGGGGACGCACAGACAGGUGGUGCAUGGUUGUCGUCAGCUCGUGUCGUGAGAUGUUGGGUUAAGUCCCGCAACGAGCGCAACCCUUGCCUUUAGUUGCCAUCAUUCAGUUGGGCACUCUAAUGGGACUGCCGUUGACAAAACGGAGGAAGGUGGGGACGACGUCAAAUCAUCAUGCCCCUUAUGACCUGGGCUACACACGUACUACAAUGGCAAUGAACAGAGGGGAGCAAGCGUGCGAGCGCAAGCAGAUCCCAAAAAAUUGUCCCAGUUCAGAUUGCAGGCUGCAACCCGCCUGCAUGAAGACGGAAUUGCUAGUAAUCGCAGAUCAGAAUGCUGCGGUGAAUACGUUCCCGGGCCUUGCACGCAAAGCCCGUCA
rnacentral:rRNA from 1 species